UACGGGGGGGGGCAAGCGUUUGUUCGGAAUUACUGGGCGUAAAGGCUCGUAGGCGGCCAACUAAGUCAGACGUGAAAUCCCCAGCUCAACCUGGGAACUGCGUCUGAUACUGGAUGGCUUGAAUUCGGGAGAGGGAUGCAGAAUUCCAGGUGUAGCGGUGAAAUGCGUAGAUAUCUGGAGGAAUACCGGUGGCGAAGGCGGCAUCCUGGACCGACAUUGACGCUGAGGAGCGAAAGCUAGGGGAGCAAACGGG
rnacentral:rRNA from 1 species